UACGAACUGUGCGAACGUUAUUCGGAAUCACUGGGCUUAAAGGGUGCGUAGGCGGUUUUCCAAGUCAGGUGUGAAAGCCCACGGCUCAACCGUGGAACUGCGCUUGAAACUAGAAGGCUAGAGUGAGGUAGGGGUAUGCGGAACUUCCAGUGGAGCGGUGAAAUGUGUAGAUAUUGGAAGGAACGCCAGCAGCGAAAGCGGCAUACUGGGCCUUUUCUGACGCUGAGGCACGAAAGCCAGGGGAGCGAACGGG
rnacentral:rRNA from 1 species